GUGCAUGUGUAGGUGGGUGGAUGAAUGGAUGGAUGAAUGGAUGGAUGGGUGAGUGGGUGGGUAUAUAUGUAGGUAGGUGGAUGUCUGGGUAGGUGAGUGAGAGAGUGGGCAGCCAGAUGGAUGGGUGAAUGGAUGGACAAAUGUGAAAGUAAACAAUGUUUGGUGGGGGCUUCAAAGUAGGCCCUAUGGCUCUCAUCUUGCCCUUGGGAACCUGUAGGGACCUAGUUCUAUGAGGGGCCAACCUCAGCACGAGGUCACCGGGGCCACAGCUGUGGCAGACCCAGGUCUCUAUCCUCAGUGCCCAGCGGAGGGCCUGGCACACAGGAGGGUGAUGUUGCUUGUGUUCAGUUAGCACCGUUACUGAUAACGCCAAUACAUGAAAAUCCAAAUACAGCGCAUGCCAGAUAACCAUUUGGUAGAAAAGAAAUUUUAGUCACAACAGAAUACUAUCCAGCUAAGUUCUAUUUUGGGACUAGUGGAAUGUAAUACAUAAGACUACAGUCUUUAAACUAAAAUAUUAGCCAAGUCCUUUCCUUCCUCCCCACCCCCUUGCCCUUCCCCUUCCUCGUUCGUCCCUUCCUUCCUAGGAAAACACCACAGGCAACUCAGGGGCAAACAAGCCCCUGGAACAGCAAUGUGGUAAGAGUCUCAUUGCCUAUGGAACCAUGGCUCACAGCGGGUGGCCGGGAGGCUGUUCCGGACGUCCUGCCCCGGUUCAGGGCCAGCUGCCUGGUCCAGCUCCCAGCGCCACUUACCGGCUGUGCAGCCCUGCUCAAGUUCACCUCAGAUAUGGGGACACCCCCACCCCCGGGGGAGCUGGUCAAAGAUUAAAAAUGUGCACGUGGGUGGCACAGUGCACUCCAUGGAGGAGGACACUCAGAGCGCCGUGGCAACUCUCGGAACUCCCACAAUCGGAACCUGUUUGCUUCAAGCUGGGGAGGGCAGGACAGAGGGAUCUGCCCAAGGUCCCACGGUAAGGACUGCAGAGCCACCCUAGCACCAGGGUUCUGGAGUCCUAAUCCCAGGCUGCUCCCCCAGCUCCGGCACCUGCCUGAGGCUGCCAAAUGUGGGAGGCACAUGUUGAGAGAGGGGCGUCAAGUUUUCACUUCACGGAUGAGCCAUGCUGGCAUGGAGAACCCACCACAGGACUGUGUAGGCCAGCGCAGCCACUGGGACCCCCAGGACCACCCCAGCCAGAGCCAGGCCCCCACAUCCAGGCUCCCGGGGGCCUGCACAUGGGGGAAGGUGGGGCCAGGCUUCCUCCCCAGCCCGAACCGGCUGUCAGGCAAGGGCAGCUUCCAGAUGAACAAGCCUCAUUCCCUGCAGUGGGCUCCACAGGGUAGCGGUGUCCAAGAGAAGAGAUCCAUCUGAAAGUACGUGGAGCUCACAGCUGCCCAGAGAGCACAGACUCAGCACACACAUUCGGAGCCGAUCGAUACGAUUUUUCCAAUUGAUUUCUAGAUACAUACUGCUCAAUUUCUGCUCAAAAUUAUGUCCACUGCUCCCAACGAGAAGAAACUGCUUCAAAACCUGCUGGGCUUCACUGUGGGCGUCCUCGCUGGCCCUCGCUGCCCGUGCCCAUGGCGAGGAGGCACCGCCGGACAGCGAGUGUGAAAGGCACUCACGUAGCGGGCAGUGCACACGAAACCACACUGGUAUGCGAGGGUGAGAUUCGGAUCAAGAGCGACAACGUAACUGGAGAUGUCAUAUUGUGUGACCUUGUGACAGGUUCACAGGCUGUUCUCGUGUACCGGCAGGAACUGCGUUUACUACCGUGGGAUUAUCUGGAGACACAGCACACGGCCCGAGAACAGCGCUUCUCCCGCAGCAACUCGCAUGGGCACGCUGGCGAAGGCAGACCAGCGCGGGGCACCCAGGCAAACACUGACCACCUCCCCCGCCGGGACCCGCACCCCCUCCUCAGUGACCUUUCUACAGAGGUGAGAGUCCUACACUCAUCUGGGAGAGGUGGCUUCUCUCCCGUCCAAGUGGGUCACCCUGGAGCAGGCGCUCAUCAAAACAGGUGCCCAAAGCCUCCACAAGCACAGAACUUAAGGCCACAAAAGAGAACACAGGAGCCGGGUGGAGGCCCCCUUGGGGGUGUUCUGAGCCCUCCAGGCAACUCGCAACUCCUGGGCAACGUGGGUCUGGGGCCCACCCAGCCGGGGAGUCUCCAGGACUCAGGUUUGGGCAAACUCCUGCCGAGAUGUGCACACCCCAAUAUGGCACUCGGGGAGGCACGGCCACACAGCUACCUGCGGCUCGUGCCAAUGGUGCCCACUGAGGUGGUUCCUCCACAAACUCUGCCCCCGACAGGAGCUACGUGGGCGUGAGGGGAGCCAGGGGGCCAGCCUUUGGGGUCCUCCAUGUCCUUGUGCCUAACCAGUCCCUGCAGGAGCGGCAUGGUGACAGAAGUGUGUAAACAAAGCAACAGAACGUAUAGGUUGACUCUCGUGAAGGCCGGGUGGGGGCUCACAGGGCUGAAUCCAGGCUGUGCCGGCAGGGGGGCCGGCCACACCUGAGCUACUGGCAUGCGCUGUUUGGGGUUUCUGCCAACUAAGGUGCUAUGGUCGGAAUGAUUGUGUCCCCUCAAAAUCCAUGUGUUGAAAUCCUCACCCCUGAGGUGAUGGUGCGUGCAGGGGUGCCUUUGGGAGGUGGCCUGGUGGUAAGGGUGGAGCCCUGGGGAGUGGGACUGGAGCCUUGCGGGAGAGGCCGAGACCCCUCCCCCUCCGCCUGUGAGGGCGGGGCGAGACGGCACCAGCUAUCAACCAGAAAGCAGCCCUCACCAGACACCGAGUCCACUGGCACCUUGGUCUUGGACUUCGGCCUCCAGAACUGCGGGAGAUAAACUCCUGCUGUCUAUAAGCCCCCAGUCUGAGGUAUUUUGUCACAUCAGCCCAAGUGGACAAAGACUCAGAGCAACUGGGACGCACACGGACUCAGCUAACACCCCAAAGACCAGCCAUGCGGUCUCAAAGGACGGGCCUGUGCCAAGGCCAGCCUCCCGAAUCUCAGGACAGCGUGGCUGGAGGACCUGAGUCGCACGGCACCUGCACAUCUCCAGGGAAACACGCCGCUGGCCAUGCCCUGGGCUGCAGGUGCCGGAGAUCUUGGACUACAGGGGGAGGAGGAGGCCUCUCAGGUGACAGUGACCCUGAUGAUGACGCCCCACGGAGUGCCUGUGUCCCCUGCAUCUGUGACAGCGCUGAGGCGGCCACAGUGCCCUCAUCCCGUGUGGACAGAGGUGCUGAGCCCCUCGGGGGAAGCGACCCAGCCAGGCUGAAGCUGAGGGCAAGGCGGGGCCAGGCCCAGGCAGGAAGAAGCUCCGUUCGCUCCUUGCUCCUCCAAGCAAGCAGCCCCUCGGGAGGACUGCACACCCCUCGCUUUGCACUUCAUCUCGGCCCGUUCUCAGGCUCUUUUGUGCCUGUCUCCCUUCCCCGACGACAAACAGAGGACUCAAGCCUACUUUUCCCAACCUCCUACACCUUUGGUCACAGCGGGGGGAGCUGGGUGCUGCGGGAGAGACGCCCCAGGAGCCUGCCUGAAAAGACCAUUGCCAGAGCCAGCGCCAAGUGGCGGAAGGGGCCUCAGAGAGCUUGGCGGAGGCCAGGACCACACGGCUCCCAGUGAAGCUGCAGAGGGCAGCGGGCAGCGGGCAGCAGGCAGCAGGAGAGGCCCGGCAGCUGAAACGGGAGACUCAGCGGGGACUGACUCUCAACAGGGACUCAGCACGAGCCCAGGCCCUGGCACUGGGUCUUCGGGCCCUUCCAUGUCACUGAUCUUCAUUUUCCCUCCCUAUGUGAGCAUCUGAGAACCUCAAAGCCACUCGGCCCCUUCCUCUGCCCUCACUGGGAAUCUGCAACCCAUACUGGGCAACUAGCGCUGCCCUGACCUGGUCUCCCUGGCAGUUCUUCGGCAGGGUGGUCUUGCCAUGCAUGCCUAGAAUGGUCCUGGCACAUGAGGGCUCAGGGGACAGUCACCGAGGGAACGAAUACACUGCAGGCCUUGCCCUGAGCUGUUUGGUGGCUCCCCCUAAGCUUCUGCUCCUUCAGGAAGGACCCCCUGGGGCCAGGGCUAGCACUUGGCUCUACAGGUGAGCUAGAGUCACUCCCCUCCUCCCCGGCACGGCUGCCGGGCCCUGCAGGACAAAGCUCUGCUGCCCACCCUCACCUGGGGCUAUGGCCCCAGUCACCUCGAGCCUGGCUCUAGCUCUGGCACCUGCGGCCCCCAACCGUGACCCCCCGAGGGCCCGAUCGCUGCCUUCUCACACUUGCCCUGAGCUGACCGCUGUGCGUACUCUUCGGUUCACUCUCACUCCAUCCUCCCUGCCAGAACCAACGCUUCCCCGGCAGCUGCCACUCUGCCUGCUCACCCCACGUCCCCAACACCCGGAGUGACGCUGGCCUGCCACACGCCCUCAAUACGUGGUGGCUGAAUAAAGAACACGUGAAAGAAGAAAUGGCCCCACACGGACCCUAACCAAGGUGCUGCGGGAUGAGCCAGGAGGACAUGAAGACGCGCCCAGCCCAGCCCCGCUGCCCGCAGGCAGGCCCCGCACAGUUCCCAUCAGGGAGCGGCCCCUCCCAUCCCGCCGGACCCUGAGGAAGACACUCGGCAGCAAGGCCACAGGCCUGGCAACCCCAUUCCCAGCCAGGAGAUGGGUUCCCAGCCAGAAUCCCCUUCCCAGACCCCAGAGAUGUAAUUACAUCUCGUAAUUACAUCUGGGGUCUGGGUCCCGAUGAGGCUGCCCCUCAUCGAGUGAGCGAGUCUGUGGCCACCCUCGGGGGGAGACGCAGCCUUGGCUGGAACCGCCAGAGUCUGGGCAAGGCCUGGUGGCUCCACUUAGUGUCGGCACCCAUUCUGGCACUGGGCGCCCCGCCAGGCAGAAGGCUGUCCUGCCCAGGUCCCUCACCUGGGCUGGGGCGCUCGACUGUCAAGUCAGACACCAGGACGCAGGUAAGAGAGUGGGAAGGACGCAAGGGCACAGCACGGGGGUUCUUGCCACAAACGAACUGCGGGAGCUUGGUGAUUAAGCCGGCUCAUCCCAGGCUUGGCAGGAGGAGGCAGCCUGGGCGUGACACAGCACUUCUGGGGUCCUUCUUGAUUUCUUUUUCACUCAAGGUCAACAUAAAAACCUCAGGCACUGCCAGCCUUAGGCAUGCACAGUGACUCUUAAGCCCACCAGGAUUGACAAUGUCCCUCUAAGUUUUGCCACCUGAAAACGCGGCAGUCUGGCCUGAGCGAGGCCUGCUCCAGCUGGGAGCUGGCAGGUGUGGGCGGGGCCGUGCCAGCGGUGUCCCAGCACAGCCAGUGUCCCUGCCAGCCCCCGCCCCCACCCCUCAGGCCGGUGUCAGUUCACUUCCACGCUGGACUCUUUUGGGUAUCUGUAAAAGGCUGCAAAAUGGGACAGUGACAGCUGAGAGGGAGACAUUUUAAUAAGGCCCGAGAUGUAAUUACAUCUCUUCGGGGACUGAGCAGAUGAGCUUCUCCAAGUUUAUCUGCCUUAGAUAUCAAACACCAUUAAUGAGAUAAUAAGGGCCUUUCAAUUAAUGAUUUGAACGGUGGGUGUAAUUUUAUGUUUAAUGGCAAGACUGAUUCACGGGCAGGAAUGAGCAAAGGAGAGAGGCGGCAGAUCCCCAGCUUCGGGGCCCCCGCCUCACCUGGGGGCGGGUUCCGCUGACAGAGGCACAAGUGGGGCUCCCUCUGGAAUACCUGCAGCAGGUACGGGGGACGAGUUCCAGGCCCAGGGAAAAGGGUGCCAGGUCCUGGGGUCAAAACAUUCUUUUCCGAAGGGAAAGGAAGGAGGGAGGAAGGGAGGGAGGGAGGGAAUGUUCUCGGGAGACAACUAAGGCAAGGGCACUUGGACCUUCCGAGGACGCACGGGGCUGUGUUUACUGUGCUGCCAGCCCGAAGCUGCUGCUGAUCAAUGACACACGGGCACGAUUCUCGGCAAAGCUGACGUGUGCGGGCCUGGCCACGCUGCAGGCGCCACGACCAAGCUGCACUGCCGCUGCCCUCUCGUCCCCUGCUGGAAAGUGAGGCGCAGUCUGAAGGGACCUGCCAGGUUCCUGCGGGAGCCAGAGGAGUGUCCUAAUAGCCAGUGCUACAAAACCACAGUCACUUCCCAAGCGGUGUUUCAACUCUGCGGCACAGCUGGAAUUGCCUGGAUUUCACUAAGGCACCCAGGAGUGAAAAUCAAAACCAGGACUGGCAGACGGCCCUUUAAAGUGGUCUGGGGACCCUCGGAACCACAGUCUCGCCCUCGGGUGUUGGGGCCCCUCCGGCUCACCACUGGCUCAGUGCCGGUCCCACCCCAUGCAUGCUAAAAUGCAGCGGCACUCCACACUGAAUGUGUUUUCUUAUAGAAACAUGAGGCAGGCUGGGUGCAGUGGCUCAUGCCUGUAAUCCUAGAGCUUUGGGAGGCAGAGGCAGGAGGAGUACUUGA